rnacentral:rRNA from 1 species
AUUGAACGCUGGCGGCAGGCCUAACACAUGCAAGUCGAACGAGUGGCGGACGGGUGAGUAAUGUAUGGGAAACUGCCUGAUAGAGGGGGAUAACUACUGGAAACGGUAGCUAAUACCGCAUACCAUCGGAUGUGCCCAUAGGGGCUAAGCUAGUAGGUGGGGUAAAGGCUCACCUAGGCGACGAUCCCUAGCUGGUCUGAGAGGAUGACCAGCCACACUGGGACUGAGACACGGUCCAGACUCCUACGGGAGGCAGCAGUGGGGAAUAUUGCACAAUGGGCGCAAGCCUGAGGCAGCCAUGCCGCGUGUAUGAAGAAGGCCUUAGGGUUGUAAAGUACUUGCAGCGGGGAGGCGUUACCCGCAGAAGAAGCACCGGCUAACUCCGUGACAGAAGCCGCGGUAAUUC